rfam:Tolypothrix campylonemoides VB511288 scaffold_3, whole genome shotgun sequence.
GUUACAAUUUCUACGAAUCCCUAUUAGGGAUUGAAAC